rnacentral:rRNA from 1 species
UACGAAGGGUGCAAGCGUUACUCGGAAUUACUGGGCGUAAAGAGUGUGUAGGCGGUGCUCUAAGUUCGGUGUGAAAUCUCCCGGCUCAACUGGGAGGGUGCGCCGAAAACUGGAGUGCUGGAGCGCGGGAGAGGAAAGCGGAAUUCCUGGUGUAGCGGUGAAAUGCGUAGAUAUCAGGAGGAACACCGGCGGUGUAGACGGCUUUCUGGACCGUAGCUGACGCUGAGACACGAAAGCGUGGGUAGCAAACAGG